GUUGACGUUAGUCGCAGUCUUCGCUGCUAACGUUUUGUUAUGAGUUGCUAAAAUGGUGAAAUGCUGCUCCGCCAUUGGAUGUGCUUCUCGCUGCUUGCCAAAUUCGAAGUUAAAAGGACUGACAUUUCACGUAUUCCCCACAGAUGAAAACAUCAAAAGGAAAUGGGUAUUAGCAAUGAAAAGACUUGAUGUGAAUGCAGCCGGCAUUUGGGAGCCUAAAAAAGGAGAUGUGUUGUGUUCGAGGCACUUUAAGAAGACAGAUUUUGACAGAAGUGCUCCAAAUAUUAAACUGAAACCUGGAGUCAUACCUUCUAUCUUUGAUUCUCCAUAUCACCUACAGGGGAAAAGAGAAAAACUUCAUUGUAGAAAAAACUUCACCCUCAAAACCGUUCCAGCCACUAACUACAAUCACCAUCUUGUUGGUGCUUCCUCAUGUAUUGAAGAAUUCCAAUCCCAGUUCAUUUUUGUAAGUAAAUUACUUGCUGAGCUCAUGUUAAUUCUUUUAAGAUGAAUAUGUCCUCUCCAUUACAAUCAAAUUUUUCAGAAUCCUAGCAAAAUCUAGGGGUUAAUAUGUAAUAUCUACAAAUAAUAUUGCUUCCUAGAGUCAUUGUAAUUUAUAUAUAUGCAACAGCAAAAUAGAGGUAGUUAAUCCUUU
rnacentral:sRNA from 1 species